AAGCGAGACAGUGAUGUGGAGCAAAUCCCAAAAAUAACGUCCCAGUUCGGACUGUAGUCUGCAACCCGACUACACGAAGCUGGAAUCGCUAGUAAUCGCGAAUCAGAAUGUCGCGGUGAAUACGUUCCCGGGUCUUGUACACACCGCCCGUCACACCAUGGGAGUCAGCAACGCCCGAAGUCAGUGACCCAACCGAAAGGAGGGAGCUGCCGAAGGCGGGGCAGGUAACUGGGGUGAAGUCGUAACAAGGUAGCCGUAUCGGAAGGUGCGGCUGGAUCACCUCCUUUCUAAGGAA
rnacentral:rRNA from 1 species